CUUUCAACCAGUUUUUCAGAGCUGGCAGCCACUGACUGAGCGGUACCGAAGCAGGCAGAGGCUGUUUUCUACUGUUGUCACUGUGGCAUCAAACUACCGAGCCAGCAGUGGCACUGAAGCAUUUACCACCUGCGGGCUAGGACACUGCUGUGGAGACGAGGAGGCGGCCAGAGAGAAAUGUUUUAAUAAAAAGUUUAAAUAAAAUGUUUUCUGCA